CCCCAGAAUGUGAUGAGAUGGAUCAAGUGCAUAGUUCAACAGAAUCUUCCAUGUUGAAGAAUUCCAUCGAAUGUCUUUCGCUCCUAUCUGAUUCUAGAC
rnacentral:snoRNA from 1 species